CGUAGGGCGCAAGCGUUAUCCGGAAUUAUUGGGCGUAAAGAGCUCGUAGGCGGUUUGUCGCGUCUGCCGUGAAAGUCCGGGGCUUAACUCCGGAUCUGCGGUGGGUACGGGCAGACUUGAGUGAUGUAGGGGAGACUGGAAUUCCUGGUGUAGCGGUGAAAUGCGCAGAUAUCAGGAGGAACACCGAUGGCGAAGGCAGGUCUCUGGGCAUUAACUGACGCUGAGGAGCGAAAGCAUGGGGAGCGAACAGGAUU
rnacentral:rRNA from 1 species